UGAACGCUGGCGGCAGGCCUAACACAUGCAAGUCGAGCGGUAGAGAGAAGCUUGCUUCUCUUGAGAGCGGCGGACGGGUGAGUAAUGCCUAGGAAUCUGCCUGGUAGUGGGGGAUAACGUUCGGAAACGGACGCUAAUACCGCAUACGUCCUACGGGAGAAAGCAGGGGACCUUCGGGCCUUGCGCUAUCAGAUGAGCCUAGGUCGGAUUAGCUAGUUGGUGGGGUAAUGGCUCACCAAGGCGACGAUCCGUAACUGGUCUGAGAGGAUGAUCAGUCACACUGGAACUGAGACACGGUCCAGACUCCUACGGGAGGCAGCAGUGGGGAAUAUUGGACAAUGGGCGAAAGCCUGAUCCAGCCAUGCCGCGUGUGUGAAGAAGGUCUUCGGAUUGUAAAGCACUUUAAGUUGGGAGGAAGGGCAGUAAAUUAAUACUUUGCUGUUUUGACGUUACCGACAGAAUAAGC
rnacentral:rRNA from 1 species